AAGCAGGACGCAGCAAAAGCGCGGCUUCCUCUGUUGGCUUAACAACAAACUGGCUAAAAAAUGGGAAAUCUCACGCGACUGAAAAAACUAAUUAACGAGGAGAUUUCGAAAAGAGGUCCACUGAAGCUUAUAAAAUAUCUUCAGAGGAAAAAGCUACUUAAAAGAAAAAUAAAAUGCAAAGUCUGCUAGCAGAAAAUGAAACUGAAGAAAAGGGUGAACAACGGAGACCAAUAUGCUUGGAUCUGUCGUGGAGCAGCACAUGGUGGACACGUCAAACAAACCUCCGUCAGACACAAGUCACUUUUCAGCCGUUCUAAAGUCUCACUUCAACGCUGGAUGCAAUUUAUCUACAGAUUUUCUCAGGGUCUGUGAUUACGUCAAAUCGACAUGAUAGAUGACACCAUUGCAUGCAGCACAACAAGACUUAGUAAAAUGUCCAAAAAAAUAAGGAGGGUACGUGUGGCUGCAGUUCAAAGAUUGAGACGUUGUACAGGUCAGCAGAUUGGUGGCCGAAGGGAGUUUGUUGUGAUUGAUGAGAGUCACUUUCGUCACAAACAAAAGUAUGGGAGAGGAAGAAUGGCUGGGGGAUGGAAAAGAAGAAAGUGGGACUUUGGAAUGCUGGGCAGAAAACAUCGAGGGAAAACAUGGCCUAUCUUGCAACUUGUGGAGAAAAGAUCUCGAAGACAUCUUGUUCCUGUGAUUACCCUUCAUGUCCGGAUUGGUUCCUCAGUGAUAAGUGAUGAAUGGCGGGCCUAUUGUGUACUCCCAAAUUUAGGGUAUGAACACCAUACUGUUAACCACAGCAGGUGGUAUGUUGACCCUCGUACAGGUGCCCAUACCCAACAUCUGGAGAGAGCCUGGAGGUCUUACAAGGAGCAAAUCUGGAGACUCAGGGGUAACAGAAAUGAUAGACUACUGUCAGAACACCUUACAGUUAUUGAGUGGAACGAGUGGCUCGCCAAAAAGCACAAAAAUGGUACAUUGGGGAGACUGAUUUAUGACAUUUCCAAAAAAUACAGAUAAUUCUAAAAGUUAAUGUUGCUACUGCUUUUUUUUUUCUUUUUGAAAAUGUUAUUUGAAAACUUUAUGUAAAGCGCUACAGGUCAUAUAGUUUGCAUCCAGCCGUGUUCUGUAUUACCUCAAAUACUGGCUGAUAGUUUAUGACACUUUUUAUUUUUGUAUCAAAAUUUGUGUGUCCAAUCUGUUCUCAUAUUUUUGUGAUUAGCAUCUUAAAAAUACAGUGCGUUCUGGAUCUACCCUGUGUGUUGUCAUUUAUUUUUUGUUACAAUGUACUUUAAAAACUUUCAAAUCUAUAAAUAGGUUGUAUGGUAUAUAUGGUCCCCACUUUAGAUGGGCUCACUCAAGAUACUUUACUAACAAGUAGCAAAUGGUUUGUAACUUCCUAAAUAAGUUUAUUAAGGUAUUUAUGAGUAUUUAUAGAUAAUCUAUUGAAAAAGAAGUUGGCCAGUAGUGAGU